rnacentral:tRNA from 1 species
GUCAGGAUGGCUGAGCGGUCUAAAGCGCUGCGUUCAGGUGCCGUCUCCCCUGAGGCGUGGGUUCAAAUCCAUUUCUGACA